GAUGAAGAACGUAGCAAAAUGCGAUACUUGGUGUGAAUUGCAGAAUCCCGUGAACCAUCGAGUUUUUGAACGCAAGUUGCGCCCGAAGCCUUUUGGCCGAGGGCACGUCUGCCUGGGCGUCACGCAUCGCGUCGCCCCCAACAAAUUCUCCGUCAGGGGAGCUUGUGUUUCGGGGGCGGAUACUGGUCUCCCGUGCUCAUGGCGCGGUUGGCCGAAAUAGGAGUCCCUUCGAUGGACGCACGAACUAGUGGUGGUCGUAAAAACCCUCGUCUUUUGUUUCGUGCCGUUAGUCGCGAGGGAAGCUCUUCAAAAACCCCAGCGCGUCGUCUCUUGACGGCGCUUCGACCGCGACCCCAGGUCAGGCGGGACUACCCGCUGAGUUUAAGCAUAUCAAUAAGCGGAGGA
rnacentral:misc_RNA from 1 species